GAGGAAGGGAAGGGUAGGAGUUCAGCCUGCAGAGAUGGGAGCAGUGUUCUCGAAUGUUCAUGGGAAGAUUAAAUGGGACCCCGGCCAGGGAAAUACAUUCCUACUCAGUCUAUUCCUGUUUUGCAUCUCUUCUGUGGGCUUCAUGCCCAAUGUGGGGCUUGAACUCACAACCCUGGGAUCAAGAAUCAGAUGCCCAACUGAGCCAGCCGGGCGCCCCCUCAUUUGUAUUGUUCUUGAUGAAAAUGUCAGGAUUCAUCUAUUUUGAUGGGGAGUGUUCUUAUUAAAGGAGCCCCAUUGGAAUGUAUUUGUUAAUGGUCUUCAUCCUCCUGGUGAAAUCUAUACAGAUAAGGCUCAGCGUGUAUUAUCUCCCAGGGAGUGUUUAUAUUUUAUCGGUGAAGACUUACAAGCUCAGAAAGCCUUCAAGGGGUGAAGAACGAGCCUCUAAAAGAAAAUUUAAGGGCGCCCGGGUGGCUCAGUUGGCUGGGCGUCCGACUUCGGCUCAGAUCACGAUCUCACAGUUUGCGAGUUCGAGCCCCACAUCGGGCUCUGUGCUGACAGCUCAGAGCCUGGAGCCUGCUUCAGAUUCUGUGUCUCCCUCUCUCUCUGCCCCACCCCUGCUCAUGCUCUGUCUGUCUGUCUCGCUCAGAAAUAAAGACUAAAAAAAUUUAAAAGAAAGAAAUUUUAAGUCUAGGAACAGUGUGGGGCCAGGGAUCUUCUCAGUGAGUGAAUUUUCUUAUUGUAUCUCAUAGUA